GACAAAGGAUGCAAGCGUUAUCCGAAAUGAUUGGGCGUAAAGCGUCUGUAGGUGGCUUUUUAAGUCCGCCGUCAAAUCUCAGGGCUUAACCCUGGACAGGCGGUGGAAACUACCAAGCUGGAAUACGGUAGGGGCAGAGGGAAUUUCCGGUGGAGCGGUGAAAUGCGUAGAGAUCGGAAAGAAUACCAAUGGCGAAAGCACUCUGUUGGGCCGACACUGACACUGAGAGACAAAAGCUAGGGGAGCGAAU
rnacentral:rRNA from 1 species